rnacentral:rRNA from 1 species
GACGAACCGUGCGAACGUUGUUCGGAUUCACUGGGCUUAAAGGGCGCGUAGGCGGGUGUCCAAGUCUGGGGUGAAAUCCUUCGGCCCAACCGGAGAACAGCCUCGGAUACUGGAUGUCUCGAGGGGGUAGGGGCACGCGGAACUUCCGGGUGGAGCGGUGAAAUGCGUAGAUAUCGGAAGGAACGCCGGUGGCGAAAGCGGCGUGCUGGACCCCGUUCUGACGCUGAGGCGCGAAAGCCAGGGGAGCGAACGGG